rnacentral:piRNA from 1 species
UGAGUUCUAUUUCUGAAAAUCACAUGGUGGC